UGAAACUGAAGCACUUAUAACGAAAUGAAAGGGGAAACCGCCUAGUCAUACGGACUCAAGCAAGGAAAAAUCUGAUGUACACAGUCUAUUUUCUGGCAAAUGCUAUGUCUAUGGUAAAUUUGGGCAUAUGAGUUACUCAUGUCCUAUGAAGAGAAAGGGAAAAAUCCUGAGAGAUAAAAUACUGAAUGGAAAAAAGUUGACAAAACCUGAAACUAGUCUGAUCUGUAUGAUGUCUGAUUUAGACCAAAAUUCCUGGGUGUUCAAUACAGCAACCACAAAUCAUUUUUCAUCAAUUAGAGGUUGGUUCCAAAACUUCUGGAAAACAAGCAUUAAACAUGUUGAGAUGGAUGAGGGAAAAUCUGAAGGUGAAGGUGUUGACGACAAUCUUCUUGCAACUAAA
rnacentral:lncRNA from 1 species